GCUGUCGUAGCUUAAAUUCAAAGCAUAACACUGAAGAUGUUAAGACGGGCUCUAGUAAAGCCUCGAAAGCA
rnacentral:tRNA from 1 species